AAGGGCAUACAAUGCCAUUUUCAUCGAGGCAGCCCUCUUGAGAAACAUUUAAAUCUGAGACUAUGAAGAAAGAUCUAGUCUGCUUUCAGCGUCCUUCAGUCAGUCAAUUGAGUGUCUGCUGUAUUGAAGGUGUGCUGCUCUAUAACUACAUGUCAUUCUCACAGGUUUCCAGGCACGGUAUCUCAGCCGGGCCUUUGUUUUCUCCUAUUUUUUUUAAAGAUACUCCUCUGACUCACAAUGUUGUCCUUUAAAAAAAAAAAAAAGAUUUAUUUAUUAAAUACAUAGCGUUCUGCCUGCGUGUAUGUCUGCAUACCAGAAGAGGGCACCAGAUCUCAUUAUAGAUGGUGAUAAGCCAUCAUGUAGUUGCUGGGAAAUGAACUCAGAACCUCUGGAAGAGCAGCCAGUGCUCUUAACUGCUGAGCCCCUCCUUGCCAUUCUUCACAGUGCAUUGACUCCAUAGCACCUGUCCUUUCAGGAACUGAAGAUGACUGCCCUGAUCCUUGUAGCUCAGGUCACACUGGUCUCCUACCUUGGACUCUUAAAAUACUUCAUUAUACAAUCUUUAGCAUAUACUGUGUAGUAUGUCGGUUUAUUUGUAUGUAUGUGUUUUUAUGUGUACACAUGAAAAUGGAAGCAAAGUCAGCUCUCAGUGCUGUCCUCAGGUGCCAUUCCCCUUGGUGUUUUGAGGCAGUCUGUCCCUGGUCUGUGGUUUUCAAUUAUGCUAGGCUGGCAGACUCAGGGGUCCACAUAUUUGUCUCCCAGUGUUGCAGUUAUAAACAUAUUCCUCCCCAACCCCCAGACUUAGUUAUGCCUGGGGACCUACUCAGGUCUUCGAGCUUGCCCUGGCAAACACUGUACUGUCUCCUCGGCCCUGUUUAUUAAUAGAUCUACUUGCCAGAUUUUUAAAAUGGAAGUCAGGAGGCAACUUCAAGUAUUGAUCCUUGUCUUCUGUGUAAUUGAGACUCCGUGGAGUUACAUGUUUGCUUGUUUAAAUUCAGAUAAAGUCUCACUGUGUAGCUCAGUGACUGGCCUGGAACUCACUGUAUAGAUCAGCCAGGUCUUGAACUCAAAGAAAUCUACCUGCUUUUACCUCCCUAGUUCUGGGACUAAAGUCAUGCGCUCCCACACCACAAGACCAUGUCUCUUGUCUUUUCAUAUGCCAAGCUAGCUGGCCUGUGAGCUUCUGAACACUCUCAUGGGAGGACACUUCAGAGCUACAGCAUCUGGCUUUAAGUGAAUUUUGUGGAACUGAACUAAGGUCUUCAUGCCUGUGUGACAAGUGCUUUAUCCACUGAGCCUUCUCCCUAGCCUAUAUCAAGUACCUAUAAAAAAUGUAUUUGUUACUAAUGUGUCUCAUAUAUAUUUUAUAUAAAUCUAUAUUUAACAUAAAUAUUUAAAUAUAUUUUUGGCUUUGUUUUAUGUUUUGGAAAUGGUCUUUUAACAUUUUUUAUAUUCAUUUAUUUUAUUUUAUGCUUAUGAGUGUUUUGUCUGCAUGUAUGUAUGCGUACCACAUGUGUGUAUGUGUGCACACUCACAGAGAUCAGAAGAGGGCAUCAGAUCUCCUAGACCUGGAAUUAUGAAUAGUUGUGAGCCAUCACGUGGGUGCUGGGAACUGAACCUAUGUCCUUUACAAUAGCAGUACAUGCGUCUUACUAUCCAGCCUUGAGUCACUGUGUAUCUCUGACUUCCCUGGAACCAUUUGCUUCUGCCUCCUCGAUGCUGCCAUUACAAUGUGCCUUACUAUGCCCAGCUUAUAUAGACAUAGUUAAGGUAAAUUAAGUAAAAUGAAGUAGAGAUUUCUCAGUGAUGAUGAUUGGAUUAUCUAGAGAGAGUUUAAGUUAUAGAUAGCUGGGUAAAAUUAGAUCAAAUAUAUAUGAUAUGUGAUAUUAGUUAACCAUUAGAUAUGGACAUGUAAGCUCUUCAUUUCUGUGUGCUUAUGUGUUUGUGUGUGUGUGUGUGGUGUACAUGUUUGUGGGUAUAUGCAUGCAGUUGUAUGUCUGUACUUGGGUGUGUGGAGGCCAGAGGUUGAUAUCUGAUCUUUUUCUCCACUGUCCCUCAAUAUUUAUUAAGUCAGGCUCUCACUGAACUGGAGUUCCCUGAGCUAUGCUGGCCAGUGAGCUCCUGGGAGCUGCCUGUCUCUGCUCCCCAGAGUGGAUGUACAGACAUACAGUGCUGCACCAGGCUUCUGUGUGAGAGAUGUAGAUCUGAACUCAGGUCCUCAGGUCUGAGUGGCAGCUUCUUGCAAACUAAGCUAUCCCUUCAGCCUUAGGCUCUUUGAAGAUAGAUUUUUGUUGUUGGUGGUGGUGGUUUUUGUUUGUUUGGUUGGUUGGUUGGUUUUGUUUUGUUUUAGUUUGGUUUGGUUUUUCGAAACAGGGUUUCUCUGUAAAGCCAUGGCUGUCCUGGAACUCAUUCUGUAGACCAGGCUGGCCUUGAACUCAGAAAUCCGCCUGCCUCUGCCUUCCAAGUGCUUGGAUCAAAGGUGUGCACCACCACCGCCCUGCUUUGAAGAUAGGUUUUUAUGAAUGUUGUAUGUCUCCCAUACUUUUGUGAUUUUCAUCAUAAUGAUUACAGGUAGAUUCCAUAAUAAAUAUUUCUCAUUUCAACUUUGCUGUAUAUUCAUCAGCAGGGAGCUUGCCUUGGUUGUGCACUGCAGAAUUUAACCUUUAUGUCAGUAUCCCUCAGUUACCACAGCAUACAGCACCAUAGUCUUUAAACAUCAAAUUUUGAGUGUGGACUUUAUUAUUGUAAUAGACUUAAGAGUUUCUACCUGAGAUAAAGUAGACUAACAAAAAAUUUUCUUAAGCCCAAAAUUUAUAUAUUUCCACUUGUCCACAGGUAAGAGUUCUCUUGCAGAGCUCUUGUUUGCUGCAGAGCUGCCAGGUACACUGAUCGACAGGGUAUACACUUCUGCCUCUAAGUAGAUUUGCCUGCUCGGGGAGUGAAGAGGCUAUCUCAGGGAUUCGUUAAAUAUAGAGUGAGGGGACUGAGCGUCUUCUGAGUGCUUUCUUGUUGUAGGCGAUCCACUGUGGGCAUUUCUGUAUCAUUUGCAUUAAGUGCUGUGACCAAACACAGGACAAAGCAGCCUUUGGAGGAAGGAUUUGGUGGCCUCACAGUUUGAGGGGAUAGAGUUAAUCAUGGCAAACUCACGGUAUUAGGGAGUGUACAGCUUUGGUUCUUUCCCUCCUCACUCACCAGUAUAAUUGGAAUAGCAGACCUGAAGUACAGUAGGGACUUCCUGCAGCUAGGUCUCAUCUGUAAAAAGUUAUAGUCCCUAAAUAGUGCCACUAGCCAGGGCACCAGGAAUUCAAGUACUUGAGUGUGUGGGUGUCAUUUCACUUCCAUAACACUUUCUUAGUCUUCAUCUGAAAUAAGCAGAUCAGACCAGUUUCAUAGACAUUACUUUAAUCGACAUUUCUGUGUUGGUAACAUUUAUGAUCUGGAAAAGGUUCCAGAUGUGGCUCACCAAACAUAGUAUUCAGCAGAAGCAGUUGGUCCCUGGAGUCAAAAAUACCCCCAAAAUCCAAAAACAAAAAACAAACC
rnacentral:lncRNA from 1 species